AUGCAGUUUUGCCAUUUGCAUUUAGGCCUUCUUGACUACUGUGCAGAGGAAACAGAGAUGCCCGCACUGCUGUAGGUACAUUCGAGCCACGGCCAACGACAUCUAGGUGCGACUGCGGAUGGAAAGAAAAAGCCAGUUCAAGUCAUUUUAAGCUCCUCAUGGUACUGGAACAAGGCAUCCCUUUACAAGGUAGAAACUUCUGUACUGUGAUUGAAUCUGGGGAAAUCAAGACUCAAAUGGAGAGAGGAAGCAUAGUCACCUUUCUAGACAUUAAGAGACAAACCAAUUAUUUGUACAUUGUACAAUAAGUGUUGUCCAUGGAAAUUUGGAAACUCAACCUUUUGACUGUUGAGGCCACACACUUAUCAUUUGGUGGUUCUUGAAAUUAGAUAAUGCCUAACUGGAAAGUCAGCAUUAUGAAACAAAGUCUUAUCUUGAUUUUCUCAAAUAGUUUCUUACAAUGUAAUGUAAGAUUCAAGUUCUCUUACAAUACAACCAUCACUGGUAAAAUUUCUUUCUGUAGAAAAUACCUUUCUUGAGUUCAAUAUGAGAAACAAUUUGGCGUCAAAGCAUUAUUUGAUAAAGGUAUGAGAUCAUGGAACUUAUAGUUGUGAAGGCUAUAAAAGCAUUAUGUAUGGUCUUCUAAAAUGUGAAUAACUGUUGCAUUUUAUAACACGGGUAAGCCUUGUUUUUGAAAUGAGCACUGAGAGUUUUUUGUAUAUUUUAUGCCCCAUAUUUCAAGUUAUAGCUGAAAGUAGUAGUUAAGGUUUUCAACAAUACGUUAAUUGAAAAGAAUUGCUCAAUUAUGAAUAUGAUGUUUUUGUGAUUAAAUAUGCUAUUACAGGGCUCGAAAUACCACCUGCAUAUGCAGGUUAGUGCAGGUAAAAAUGGAGCUG